rnacentral:rRNA from 1 species
UACGAGUUUGAUCAUGGCUCAGAGUGAACGCUGGCGGCAGGCCUAAUACAUGCAAGUCGAACGGCAGCACAGCAGAGCUUGCUCUGUGGGUGGCGAGUGGCGGACGGGUGAGGAAUACGUGGGAAUCUGCCCAGUCGUGGGGGAUAACGUAGGGAAACUUACGCUAAUACCGCAUGCGCCCUUCGGGGGAAAGCCGGGGACCUUCGGGCCUGGCGCGAUUGGAUGAGCCCACGUCGGAUUAGCUAGUUGGCGGGGUAAAGGCCCACCAAGGCGACGAUCCGUAGCUGGUCUGAGAGGAUGAUCAGCCACACUGGAACUGAGACACGGUCCAGACUCCUACGGGAGGCAGCAGUAGGGAAUAUUGGACAAUGGGCGCAAGCCUGAUCCAGCCAUGCCGCGUGAGUGAAGAAGGCCCUCGGGUUGUAAAGCUCUUUUGUCCGGAAAGAAAAGCGCCGGGUUAAUACCCUGGUGUCCUGACGGUACCGGAAGAAUAAGCACCGGCUAACUUCGUG